UCCAAGGAGAAAAUUAAAACUCCAUUCCUGUCAGAUCUUGGAAGUUAAGUAGAGCUGGGCCUGGUCAGUACUUGGAUGGGAGAACUCUGGGCAUACCACUGUAGCUCUGUGGGG
rnacentral:rRNA from 1 species